rnacentral:misc_RNA from 1 species
UCCGGAUUAACUCCGGCAGUUUCCUUAGAGUUCUCAGCAUUACCUGUUAGCAACAAAGGAUGAGGGUUGCGCUCGUUGCGGGACUUAACCCAACAUCUCACGACACGAGCUGACGACAGCCAUGCAGCACCUGUGCAUCUCCCACCCGAAGUGAAGGGAAGCGUCUCUGCUUCCCAAAGAGAGCAUGUCAAGGCCUGGUAAGGUUCUUCGCGUUGCCUCGAAUUAAACCACAUGUUCCACCGCUUGUGCGGGUCCCCGUCAAUUUCUUAGAGUUUUAAUCUUGCGACCGUACUCCCCAGGCGGGGUGCUUAACGCGUUAGCUACGCCACUGAGACCUUAAGGUCCCAACGGCUAGCACCCAUCGUUUACAGCGUGGACUAC